UAAGUAUCUUUUCAAUAUCUCACUCAUAAUCAGUAAGGUUUCUUACUUUUCUUUCUUCUGCUUGUGUGUUAGUGACACCAACAUACAACCCAAAGGCUCUUUUCAGAGCCACAUCGCCCAGCAUCCUUCGCUUUCUCCUACAUACACCCCAAGGCUCUUUUCAGAGCCACUCGCCCAGCAUCAUUUAGCAUUAUCUUGUGUCACCCUCCGCUGCUGCCUCCACAGAGUUUUUUCCCUGCCAUCUAUUACGUUAAGGUACUUAAUUUUCGCUUUAAGUACUAUUUGUGUCAUUAUUUUGGAUAUGUAGUCAUCUUGGUCA